rnacentral:rRNA from 1 species
CCUACGGGAGACAGCAGUGGGGAAUAUUGCACAAUGGGGGAAACCCUGAUGCAGCGACGCCGCGUGAGUGAAGAAGUAUUUCGGUAUGUAAAGCUCUAUCAGCAGGGAAGAAGCAAGACGGUACCUGACUAAGAAGCCCCGGCUAACUACGUGCCAGCAGCCGCGGUAAUACGUAGGGGGCAAGCGUUAUCCGGAUUGACUGGGUGUAAAGGGAGCGUAGACGGUAAGGCAAGCCUGAAGUGAAAGCCCAGGGCUCAACCCUGGGACUGCCUUUGAAACUGGUAGACUGGAGUGCGGGAGGGGUAAGUGGAAUUCCUGGUGUAGCGGUGAAAUGCGUAGAUAUUAGGAGGAACACCAGCGGCGAAGGCGGCUUGCUGGACCGUAACUGACGUUGAGGCUCGAAAGCGUGGGGAGCGAACAGGAUUAGAUACCCCUGUAGUC